CGUAUCGCGUCAACCGGAUACUAGUAUAUAGUGUUCUGGUACCGGGCGUCACCUGGCGCGCGUGCUACGGCCGUUUAUUCGCGGCGUGAUUAACCUGUAACCUGACACCGUAAUCUGUGCUUCUGAAAGCUCCGGAUUAGCGAGCUGUCCUCUCAGGCCGGGCUUCGGUGCUCGCAGGCGGACUUGUUGGCGCGCUGGAUGCCGGGGAGCACCAGAGCCGAAGUGAUCCCCGGACCCGGUCCGGACCGGGCCGAGUUGUCCCCUCUCCUGGGGCCGGGCGACUCCUUCGCCUCGGACUUCGCCCCUCUGCCGGGCUGCUCCGUGGACUGCAGCGUGGUCCGGUCCCCCAGAGGAGAGGCGCCGGAGGGCGGACGGUCCUCCGGGGGACCGCGGGGUUCCGAUGGGGGUCUGGAGGGUCAGGAGGAUCUGCCCAUCCGGGCGAAGCUGGACCAGUUGAGGAAGUGGCAGAUUCACAUGCAGGAGCAGCUCAAAGCCCACCAGCUGGAGGAGCUGCUGCGCCUCCAGAAGGAGCAGCACAGGCUGCUGGGGAUGACGAGCGGAGGAGGUGACUCUGAGGCUUCGGGGCUCUCCGGUUCCAGAGGGGCCCCAUACGGCUCCCCCUUAAACCUCCAUCCAGUCCCAGCGGGGCCCCCAGGAGUCCAGGAGGGUGGGCCAUGUGGGCCCCUGGAGGUCUCCAGGUCUUCACUCCGGUCCCCUUCAGGCAGCUCCAGACCAGCAGACCAGGACCCGAGCGGGGCCGGGGCCCCGGGCGGCUCUGAGCGGCCUCUGCAGGUGGGAGUCGGGGGGCGGAGGAAGAGGUUUGAGGAGCUGUUGGAGGAGCAGCUGUCAGUGGAGGAGCAGAGGCUGAAGUCUGCCCGGCAACAGCAGAGCCACGCCCACCCCAAGAGGGCCUUCCUGAAGCGGGGCGAGGGCCUCUCACGACUCACCACCAGGGGCAGAGCCUCCUCCCCAAAGGGGCCGGGGCCGGGGCCCACCACGCUGCAGGCCAGAGGGAUGCCACGCAGCCACUCUGAGCUGGCAGCCAUCCAGACCGCCACGCUCCACCGGGGGAACCUCAGAGGUCGUCAAGGACAGAACACAGAACCACCAGAGUCCUUGCAGAACACCAGGACCGGGGCUCUGUCGGCUCCGGGCCCCACCAGGAGCCCCACCACCAGGAGCCCCACCACCAGGAGCCCCACCACCAGGAGCCCCACCAGGAGCCCCGGGCCCAACGCACAGCAGCCCGACCCCGUCACCAGACAGGUGGGCGGGGCUAGAGGCCCAGAGAAGGCUGCACGCGAUGGAGAGAGCGGCUGUGCUUUAAGCGUGGAACCGAGAGGAGGAGGAGGAGGAGGAGGAGGAGUUCUCCAGGAGUCCUUUGAGUCGUCGUUCCAGGACAAGCUCCGCCUCUGGGAGACGGUGGAGCUGGGGGAGUUUGAGCUGCUGGAGGAGGCGGCGGAGGAGCUCUCCUUCUCCUCAAACUCCUCCUUCGUCAUCAAGGUUCUCCAGAUGGACCGGCAGCACCGGGCUCUCCCGCCGCGGCGCCUCUCCUCCACCCCCAUCAGGAGGAGCGGCCCCGCCCCCCCCGCCGGCUCCGAAGGGUCGACCUGCGGCGCCGAUGACCUUGAGGAGCGGGAGGCGGAGCUCCCCCCUCACGCCUUCUGCUUCCCGCCGCAGGCCGACCCGCCGUACGACAAGAGGUCGUACCAGGACGAGGAGGAGGAGGAGGAGGAGGAGGAGGAGGGGGGGGAGGAGUCGGAGUCCACGCUCAACCAGGACACGGUCGUGUUCGACGACGGCGACACGUGGUUGGAGGGCGCCGCGCUGGGCUCGGCCAAUGAGAGCGGAGGUCCAGCCGGCGUGGCGUUGCCCCCGCCGACCAGGACUCUGUCGAGGAAGGUGAGCAGAGCCGUGGGUCCUCCUCUUCCUCCUCCCGCUUCUCAGCUCAUGACCAGGUUGUUCCCCUCGCUGAAGCCAAAGGCCCAGAAUGCACCUCUUCAUCCUGCGGAGGCGCCAGAGUCCAGAAAGUCAGAGGAGACGACGGGCCAGCAGCUCCAGUCCCGACAGCUCCGGGAGCGCCUGGUCCAGCUGGAGGUUGAGAUCCGGAGGUUCCAGGAGGAGCAGGAGGAGCUCUCCAGACUGAGGCAGCAGAACGAGGAGCAGCAGGAGGUCCUCAGGAAGGAGCGGUCGGCCUUCGAGAGGACGAGAGCGGAGCAGCUGGCCCAGCUGGAGGAGCACAAGAAGGAGGCGCACAGGAAGCUACACAAGGAGCGCCAACUGUUGGAGCAGCACGCCGCCAGAGCCAGAGCCAUCCCUGACAGGAAGGAGCGGGAGGAGAUCCAGGUGCUGAAGCAGCAGCUGGGCUCCCUGCAGGAGGAGCUGAGGAGGAAGGAGAGCCGCUGGACCUCCUCACAUGGCCGUCUGCGCCAACAGGUGGACUCUCUGGGCCAGGAAAACCGAGCCCUGCAGGACCAGGUGCGCGUGCUGGAGAAGCUUCGCCUCAGCACCUGGAGGAAAAGCCCCCCGGAGGACCGAGAGCCCAAAGAUCCCAGGGUGUGUGAAGGCACCGCCACCAAAGCAGUGAAGUUCGCUAGCCCGCUGGACUCCAGAGGAGCAGGAAGUCCUCCACACAGCAGGAGGAGCAGCCAGGGAGGCGCAGCUGGGAGGAGGAGCAGCCUGAGGAGGCCAUCGGUGCCAUGCCUCCCCCCCCCCUCCUCCUCCUCCUCCUCUUCCUCCUCCUCCUCGCCUGGCAGGAGGACCUUUGAGAGGAACCAGGAUCUGGACGUCUCUCCGGUACGGGACCAGCACCGGGAGCCGGACUCGGCGGAAGAGGUCCGCCCCCCCCCCGAUGGGAAGGUGGAGACGCUCCUGGCCGGCGGCGAGCGCCUCCUGGUCUUCAGCAACGGGACCCAGAAGGAGGUGUCGGCCGACGGGCGCACCGUGAAGGUCACCUUCUUCAACGGGGACACCAAGGAGGUGACGGCCGACCGGCGGGAGAUCUACUUCUACGCCGAGGCCCAGACGACUCACAUCACCUUCCCCGACGGCGUGGAGGUUCUGCACUUCCCCAACAACCAGACCGAGAAACAUUUCCCAGACGGCCGUAAAGAAAUCGUCUUCCCGGACCAGACGGUGAAGAACUUGUUCCCCGGAGGCCGAGAGGAGAGCGUGCUGCCGGACGGCACCGUGAUCCAAGUCAGCCCGGACGGCACCAAGGAGAUCCUGUUCAGCACGGGCCAGAAGGAGGUGCACACGGCCGGCUACAAGAGGAGGGAGUACCCGGACGGCACCGUGAAGACCGUCUACGCCGACGGCCGCCAGGAGACCCGGUACCCCAACGGGAGGCUCCGGGUCAAGGACCGGGCCGGCACCGUGGUCUUGGACAGCGGGGCCUAGCGGUCCGGUUCCCACAGGAAAAGAGCCGGACGCCUUUAAUCUCUGCCAGCCCGCUGCUCACCAGAGGGAGGUGCACCAGCUCUCCGUCCUCGUUGUACAGCAGCACCGUGAGCUCCGGCUCCCGCGCCUCAACAACAACAACAACAACACAGUGCGCUCCGGCUCAACAACAACAAGUCCCAGACUCCCUGUCCUGGAUGGUCAUUGGCUGUGCAUUGUGGGAGGGCAGGAGACGGCUCAGAGUGUCCCUGUGGACACACACACAGACACACACGUUGCUGAGGGAGCGCUGCUUCUUCAUCAUCAUCGUCCUCAUCACAGACCUUCUGUGGCGAGACGGGCCGGUCCACGGAGGCGUGUUCGAGGCUUCAGUCCAGGUGUCUCCAUCAGGAGGAACCACGUCAGACAGACAGCAGUGCAUGGCCUGGACAGAGACACUUCCUGUUGACUCCCA